AAUGUUGCAAUAUUAAUAAGCAAUUACCGACAAUUACAAUUAAAGAAGGAAACUUUAACCUAAUGUCUUUCUUUUAAAUACGUGAAAUGAAACAAAUUAGACCCACAACGGCGGCUACGGUGAUAUAAUUCUUCUAGGUCUCCUUCACUCUGCUCCCAGAGUUCUUGCUGGCCUUUGGAAUCCUCUGCUAAUGGUGCCUUAUCAGUCGAUUGCUUCUUUUCUGCUUUUGAUACCGUCGUAGACAGGAAGGAUUGAGAAAGCAAAGUUGCGACUUGGGAGGAGAUCGGCUACAGACGAUAUAUUAUUUAAAAUUAAGAUGAGAUUUCCUUCUGAAGUUCGAUGUCUCCACUGAUUCGAAUAUGAAGUCCCUCGAUCUCUCUUUCUCUGCUAAUUAUUAUUCAUACAUUUUUGUUCAUUGAUAAUCAUACAAUUAAGUUUAGUUAUUUUAAGGUUUUUAUAGUGUGUAGCUUUGAUGAUAUUAUUUGCUUGCAAAAUUGGUGCUUUAUUGAAAUAUUUGCUGCUUUUAUGCAGCGCUUUCAUAUGUUCGUAUGAUAUCUAGUUUGGAGUGCUUAAGGGGAAGGUUUUUCAUCUAAAGAUACUCAAAUGGUUGAUUGUUGGCUCAUACGUCUAUUCCAAUGUAAAGAUUAAUCAUUGGCGUCAAUUUCUUGGGUUACAUUUAGAUGUAUUCUUGGUAUGGAGCUCAAUUUAGGUGUAUGCUAGUUUUGGAGCUCCGUGUUUAUUCCUUGUACAGUAAACUUCUGCUAGGUGAAUAAAAUGUGCUCCUUAACGGUGGUUGCUAAAGUUAGGAUUGUUGAUUCCAAUAUCACCAAAUUCAAUACUCCACCAAACUUUUACCAGAGUUGUUUAACAUUUAAAUUGUUGUGUAUCUCUGUCAAAUUCAUGAUAAUAUUGUCCUUGAUUUCUGUUAAGGUAUGUAAUUGAUUGUUGCAGUCUUUGUAAGUUAGUUUUAUUUGUUAUAUUUUUUGGAUUAGGAGAUACUUUACUUAGAAAGAUAAGUAUUGGACUAUAAUAACAUACAACUACUUAAGCGAUAGCUGCUAUCUUUGAUUAAAUCCUACUGCAUAGUUUAUAGAGUUACCCAAUAUCCUUUCUGUUCUCUUCUAGGGGAUUUAUUACUUAAAGUUGGAAUUCUGCAAUAAUUAGUGGUAUUAGCCAUCAUUUUGAUCAUCACCUCAGAUAAUCCUUUUCUUGCAAUUCAGGAUAUUAACAAAUGAGUAGGCACUCAAGCGACUUGGAGAGGAAGCUCCUAAAAGAAAGUAGCAGAAGGAGUGGAAAAAAGAGCUGAAGAAGUGAAGAUAUCUCUUGUCUCGAUAUUAGUUUGAAUCCAGCAAUGUUUAAUUGUAAAGGUUUAUAGCUAUUCACAAUUUUAUUCUUGUAUAGGGAUCUUAUGUUUGCAAAUAUUUUUUUUGUUUAAAUUCUCUAUGGUGAAUGACAUUUGUAGGUACAAUUUGAACUUUGAUGGUUAUACUUUCCUGUUAAUGGAAUAAAAUUUUUGUUUCUACAUUA